GAUGAACGCUGGCGGCGUGCCUAAUACAUGCAAGUCGAGCGAACAGAUAAGGAGCUUGCUCCUUUGACGUUAGCGGCGGACGGGUGAGUAACACGUGGGUAACCUACCUAUAAGACUGGAAUAACUCCGGGAAACCGGGGCUAAUGCCGGAUAACAUUUAGAACCGCAUGGUUCUAAAGUGAAAGAUGGUUUUGCUAUCACUUAUAGAUGGACCCGCGCCGUAUUAGCUAGUUGGUAAGGUAACGGCUUACCAAGGCAACGAUACGUAGCCGACCUGAGAGGGUGAUCGGCCACACUGGAACUGAGACACGGUCCAGACACCUACGGGAGGCAGCAGUAGGGAAUCUUCCGCAAUGGGCGAAAGCCUGACGGAGCAACGCCGCGUGAGUGAUGAAGGUCUUCGGAUCGUAAAACUCUGUUAUUAGGGAAGAACAAAUGUGUAAGUAACUGUGCACGUCUUGACGGUACCUAAUCAGAAAGCCACGGCUAACUACGUG
rnacentral:rRNA from 1 species